UAGUGCACUAUGAAGGGAAUAGGAUAUUAUUUGGCAUUACACAGCAUCUCAGUAUGAAGGGUUUACGCCAGGAGUACUUUAUUAAAGGUUCCCCUUGUCACAAAGUGCCAACAAAGCAAGUGAAACCUCUUUUGCUUGAAUUCAUUAUAAAAACAUGAAUAUGUAUGAAGGACUCGUUACUACUGAAUGUUUAGUUCAGCUCUACACCUCUACACCUCUACACCUCCACCAAUCUGCCCUUCCCCCUGUCUUCACCUCUACACCAAUCUGCCCUUCCCCCAGUCUACACCUCUACACCUCUACACCAAUCUGCCCUUCCCCCAGUCUACACCUCUACACCUCUACACCAAUCUGCCCUUCCCCCAGUCUACACCUCUACAUCAAUCUGCCCUUCCCCCAGUCUACACCUCUACACCAAUCUGCCCUUCUCCCAGUCUUCACCUCUACACCAAUCUGC
rnacentral:lncRNA from 13 species